GGGUUUAGAACGUCGUGAGACAGUUCGGUCCCUAUCUGCCGUGGGCGCUGGAGAACUGAGGGGGGCUGCUCCUAGUACGAGAGGACCGGAGUGGACGCAUCACUGGUGUUCGGGUUGUCAUGCCAAUGGCACUGCCCGGUAGCUAAAUGCGGAAGAGAUAAGUGCUGAAAGCAUCUAAGCACGAAACUUGCCCCGAGAUGAGUUCUCCCUGAGACUUUAAGUCUCCUGAAGGAACGUUGAAGACGACGACGUUGAUAGGCCGGGUGUGUAAGCGCAGCGAUGCGUUGAGCUAACCGGUACUAAUGAACCGUGAGGCUUAACCUUACAACGCCGAAG
rnacentral:rRNA from 1 species